rnacentral:lncRNA from 1 species
AUCAUGCUCUUCCCAUCAACAUUACAAAUAUAAUCAUGUUCAUUACAAAUACAAUACAGACAACCCCAACCAAUAUUUUGAUCCACUUCUCAACCCUCAUAACAGCCUUCUGUACAACAACUAUCUUGUUAUACCUUUCGUUUUCAACAUGCUUCACUAACCUCACAUCAUUUGUUUCCAAAAUCUCACAGUUGACACUUUCCUCAGUUCCCAAAUCACUCAACCACC